rnacentral:lncRNA from 1 species
UUUUUUUUUUUUUUUAGCCUUUAGUAAUUACUAUCCUACAUUCUUUCUCUAUGAAUAUGACUCUUCUGGGAAUUAAUCAUUCUUACCAGGGUUUUGUUGAAAGCUGCAUCAGCAACUUACUGUCUCUGAGAUCCAAUUUCACCCUUCAAUACAGGCUCCACAAUAAUGGAUGGAAUUCCUUUAAGCAUUUCUCCUCUACAAAGAGCACCUGUUAAGCUUUCUCAGCAGAGGGUACUAGAGGGGUAAUGCUGGAGGAAGGGGCCCUCCUGCUGGUUCUGGCAUCCACACUGUCAGUGGUGGUACUCUGACCCAACCACAGGCCCAGAGCUCAUGGUCCUUUGGUGACUUUACAGCCUCAACCUGGCCAAUGAUUACCUUCCUGUGGCCUUCUUGACAUGGACACCAUAUCUUCCAGGCCUCCUGUCUGCUGUGGUACCUCACUCUCUCUGCAUGCUCAGGUGUCAGACCACUGGCUACAGUUUUUCUAUACCCCACCUGUGCCCCAGAGAAUUGCUUCCUGCUUGUCAACUGAUUGUAAGACUAGUAUGGUCUGGGCAAAUCUCUGCCAUCCGGUGGUUACAAUCCUAGCCUUGGGAAGGGGGUCCCCCUUUUAUGCCUGUCCUUGCUUGGUACUCUCCUUCAGUCCUAGGGUACCAUAUAGAGUUCUCCUUAUUUUAUAAGUGCUCUUUUAUCAAAAUGUUUAAAAUAUUUAUAUUAAACUUCCCUUAUUUAAGUCACUGUGUGGUUUCUGUCUGAUGUUUACAUCUGACAGAUAUAAACCAGGAUAAUCCUGCACUAACCUGAGUGUGUGGUUGCCUCUUCUAGAAAUGGAAGGGAAAGUCUUGACUGCAUUUGAAACUCUGAUUGAUAGUUUAUUUCUGAACUGUAUCUACCUACUGACUACUACCUUCCCAAGACAAAUUUGUUUCUUCAAAAUAAAUUCUAGCUUUUGUCUUUAAGAGAGCUAAAGUGUAUCUCUGUUACUUGAAACCAAGAGAAUCAUCACUGAUAAAAAUGUAGCUUCACAUUCUCUCAAAUAUGGCUCAGAAAAAAGGAUAGAGGGAUAAAGAAAGAGUACUCUAAAGGCAGAAGAAAAGAGGGGAAGGAAGACUAUGCCGAGGAUUAACACGACAGCAAAUUCUCAAUUGAGCUUGAUUUUGAUGUUAGGGCUUCAGGUCCCGUGACUCACCUCUCUUGUCACCACUGGAGAAUUCGCCCAAGGGGAGUCAAGUGAGGCACUGGCCCAGUGAUUCUGAAUGCAAAGGAACAUGGCUGAGGUCAAAUGAAGCCUCCUACUCCCACUUCAACCAGACUUUGGGAUCUGUUCAUCCAGUGUGUAUUUGAGAGUUGAGUGUGAAUAGCCAAUCCAAGUUCACUCACCAGCUGGUGUAAGGACCAGGGCUGCCUCACACCCUCAACCACCAGAGGGUAGAGUAGGAGCCCACUAGCUGGCACCACACUUCUGGUGAAGGGAACAUUCUGGACUGGUUCUGCUCAGCAGACAGAGUAAGUCCCUGCCUGUUAGUAAAGCAUGUCCUAGUAAAUGUCAGACUUUUGCCAAUCACAUUUGCCAUUUCUGUCUGAGAAGGAGUGAGCAAUGGGGAGGAGAGAGAGAAGCUUCCUCCCCUGCAUUUCUCUUCAUAGGAAGAAAAUACCAAAAUGUUGGUGUUAAUUCCCUCCUCCAUGAACCGAGAUGGGAAUUAAGGGAGAGAAAAAGAAUACAAAUGUCCUCCCUUCCAAUAGUUACUUUUCCUUUAUCUAUCCAAUGAAGUUUUUUUUUUAAAGUCUUCAGUGUUUGAUGAAUUAUACUAAUUCAUGAAUUAUGCUAAUCACAGAAUCAUUUUUAUCUUUCAAAGUGCCUUUUUUCACAGUAAAAAAAGAGUCAUACGUUAACCCUCAGUAGAGAGUGCAACUUGAGAUGCUUUUGUUAUGAAUGGAGUGAAGCUAAGUGGAUCUAUCCACCCUCUUUCACCUAGGAGUACAAAGUUGGAUAAGAUAUAGUGUGCCUUUUAAAAGUGGGGUACUUCCACUCAUAUUGUGCUUCUCUUGGCUUUGCCAAGGAGAAAGCUAAUUAAAUUUGGCUCCAACCAAUCAUAAUGGAUUAUAACGCAAGAAUGGGUUUUACAACCAAACAGAACAGAUGCCACAGCAAAGGGAAGGGAUGCUGGCUGGAAACAGUGGAGCAGGCUAUGUUGUAUGAUUCAGGUGCAUACAGCUCUGAAUCUGUGAGAAUCUAACCCUAAGAUGGUAGAAAGGACUGCAGGGAAGCCCCUGACUGUUCUGACUGAAGUCGUAUCUUCUGAUCUAAAUCAACUGCAUCUGAAUAUACUAAAAGAGAAAAAUCUGCUAGGUGGGGCACCUGGGUGGCUCAGUGGUUGAGCAUCUGCCUUUGGCUCAGGUCAUGAUCCUGGGGUCCUGGGAUCAAGUCUUGCAUCAGGCUCCCCAAUGAGAGCCUGCUUCUCCCUCUGCCUGUCUCUGCCUUUCUCUCUGUCUCUCAUGAAUAAAUAAAUAAAAGCUUAAAAGAAAAAAAAAAAAGAAAAAAAGAAAAACCUCCCAGGCAGUUAGAGAUUUACUGAGAAUAUUUUCCCUGAAACCUACUCUUGCCAUAGUCUUAAUCCAUCAGUACAUCGCAACACAGUUUUUCUAGUUACCCUGGCCAAAGCUCUGGAGUCAACCAUUUCUCAUCUUUUUACUCUAAUAUCCCACAUUAGCACUGUAAGCAAAUCUUGGUCAUUCCAUCUUCAAAAUAUGUCCAUUAGCUGACUACUUCUUAUCACUACUAUUACUAUUUUCCAGGCCAUGCCACCACUGUUCUUGCCUGGAUGGCUGCAGUAGUUUCCUUACUGUCUGCUUCCCCACUUCAUUCUAUUCCUAACCUGACGGCCAAAAGUGAUUCCAUUAAAACAGAAGUUAGGUGGUGUCACUCUUCUCCUGCAAGGCCCUAUACCAUCUGGAUUCCCAUUACCUCUCUGAUUUUCUUUCCCACUAGGACAGUGUGGUGGGCCUGAUGACAAAAACUGGUCCUAAUUUUCCACCCUUCACUAUAUUCACACCCUUUGACUUCAAGAGUCUCCCCGUAAAGAAGUGGAGUUUGUUCUCCAUCUCUGGAAACUAAGCUGCUUUAAUGAAUUGCUUUGGUCAGUAGAAUGUAGUAGAAGUGCCAUUGUUUCAGUUCUGAACUCAGACCUUAAGAGGUCUUGUGUGUACUCUCCUUCCUCACCAUCUCCUCUCUUUCACUCCUCUUCUCUUCUCCUCUUUCUCUCUUCUUUCUUUCUCUUUUUCCUUUCUUUCCUCUUCCUCCUCCCUCCAUACUCCUGCUAUGACAUGAGAACAGAACAUCAUCCUACUGGAGGAUGUGAGGCACACAGGCAUAUGAAGCAGAGCUAAGUCAACCCAGCUGUCUUAUUGAAAACCAAGAUAGGUAAGAGAGCUCAGGCAAAGUCAGCAAAAUUGUGCUGAUUUGCAGCUAACUGCAUAGGCGUGAGUGCGCCCUGACAAGCUCAUCUCAUCUCAACAGAACCACCCAGAGGAUCUGUAGACUCAUGAGUAAAACUAAAUGCUAUUGUGUACCACUGAGGUUCUGAGGUUGCCUGCUACUCACCAUUCUUGUGGGAUAGAUGACUGAUAGAGUAACCCCCCCACCCCCACCCAUUCUUCUCCAGCCAUAAUAGCCUUCUGAAAAGCACCGGCCAUACUUCUACAUCAGAGGCUUUGUAGUUACUGUUCCCUCUGGCUAGAAUCCUCUUCCUGGAUCCACCUCACUCUCAAUAGCUGCAUGCCUUGAUCCCUAACCUUCAGAUCUUCUUCUAACAC